rnacentral:rRNA from 1 species
AGCAUCAGCCGCGGUAAAACGUAGGUGGCAAGCGUUGUCCGGAAUUAUUGGGCGUAAAGGGCUCGCAGGCGGUUUCUUAAGUCUGAUGUGAAAGCCCCCGGCUCAACCGGGGAGGGUCAUUGGAAACUGGGAAACUUGAGUGCAGAAGAGGAGAGUGGAAUUCCACGUGUAGCGGUGAAAUGCGUAGAGAUGUGGAGGAACACCAGUGGCGAAGGCGACUCUCUGGUCUGUAACUGACGCUGAGGAGCGAAAGCGUGGGGAGCGAACAGGAUUAGAUACCCCGGUAGUCCCUGUCUCUUAUAC